UGAUCCCCGGGUUUCAACCGCCCGCCUAGCACUGGCCUGAUGGGGACGCGGCCAGAGGCGGGAAGGGUAGCCGGCUUGCUCGCGUGUUUCCCACACCCCUCAGGCUCCCAGGGGCGCCGCGGGGGCUGGCUGCGGGCUGGGCCGGGGGGACCCCGGGAGCGUGUGUCUGGGCGCCGCGUCAGCCUCUCCCGCGUGGAGGCCCCUGGACGGUGUGAGGCCCUUUUCCGCCUGCCUCGCCUUUGGCUCUAGACGGUUUCUAGGCCCUGGGAAACUGCACACGGGGACGUGGAGAACGGGGGGAGUGCCGGCGAGGGGCACACUCCGGGGACCCUGGGACUUUUCGAGCGCCCACCAGGCGGGACGCAGCCCUGAGCCCUACCCGCCACUGCUGCCGCGCCGCCCCUGGGCCUGCCGAGGCCGGGGCCUCCGCUGGGAGUCGUGGGAAGGUGGUGCCGGGAUGUGGGUCUGUGGCGGGGAUGAGGAGGCUGACCUCGGAAGCCCUCGGGAUGUGUGUGGCUCCUGGAAAAUGACGCACAGGUUACCUGCAGUAAGGUUUCAACACCACCUUUCCGCAGUACUGGGUCAUAACAACUAUAUAGCUUUUUACAUAGUACUUUUUGGGAGUUACUCAUUUUAACAGAUGCUGUGUUGAAUGCCCUCUGUUUGCCAGUGCAGUUCUCAUCUCUAGAAGUGGAGAGUUGAAGAAGAUACAUUCAGUUAUUUUAUUUUUUAAUCUGUGGGCAAACUGAUUUUAUCCUUUGCUUUCUUUAAGGUUUAAUUUGCCCUUAGGUGGACAGAGAAGCAUAAACUUAAUUUUAAUUACUAUUUGGUCACAGUUUAAAAGCCUCAAGUGUGGUUUGAUUUUCAGCUUAGAUCUUCCCUUACAUAUCUUUCCCGACACUUCCUCAGAUUUAGAUAGUGUGAGGAUGAAAACUGUAUAAAUGUGCUUACUUUUGAUAAUCUGCGAGCAUCAACUAAGACAAUGUUGAGUGUAUUAGACAUGUUUUUCAAACUUUUUGAGAGUAUAGGCAGUUUCACUUGGGUUCUAUGAUUAAUUUGCUAAGUAUUAGGAUGAUAUCAAGAAACCUGCACUUUUCAUUGAAUUGCCUUUGAUUUUGUUCCUCAAAAAAGGGGACAACAAAAAUACCCAAUUAGGACUACUGUUUCAGGCAUUGUCUGAUUGCAUUUAUCAGGUCUUAUUAUAUUCAUUCCAUGAGGAAUCUACGAUCAACUCAGUCAAGCAGAUGCCCAAGGUUACACGCCUAAUAAAGGGGACAUUCCUAGAUCGAGCCCAUGUAAUCUGACUCUAGAUUCUGACUUCGAACUGCUCUAUUUCUGAAUUGGAGUUUAACUUCUCUGUUAUCCCUAGAUUAAUGAGAUGAUAAAUAGCCAAAGACGUCAGUGACACGAACACAGUAAGCAUAGGAGGAGCUGAAAAACUAGAAGCAAUGAAAAUGUCAACUAUUUUGAUCAAAAAGUAGCCAUGUCUUCAGAAUUUGAUCAUAAAACCAGAAAUUAAAGGAUGAGAAAAUCAUUUUUCUGAAACUUAUACUUUCACAUUUCCUAGAGAGCAUACGUGUAUGGAUGGGGGUAGGUAAACACUCCGCAAAAUUUUCUUUAAAAAGAAGAAACCAUCCUGGUUUGAUGUUACAGCUGCCAGCUGCUCCCUUCCUGUGCCUGUGAUCCUCCCCAUACUGCCCUGUUGCUUGCAGGCUCCCCUGAGCUGAGAGGCAGGCCCUCACUCCCAGUGGGCAUCUCCCUGGGGCCUUCUUUACACCCUGGAGAACUUCAUAGGGAGUCUGUAUCUGUACACACAAAGGCUUCCUGAUCCAGAUGUAGUUACUAGGGCUGAUUGGACAUUUAAGUCCUAUGGACUUACUCUGCCAAAAUUAUUUAAUAAUGUAAAAAUAAUAUAUAAUUCUUACAAAGUAUCCCCUUCAUAAUAUAAUGAACUUUGGGAUUAUUGCAUUUUAGUGCACAUGUACAGUAUAAAAGAUUAUUAAUUUUUUCAAACAGUUAUUGUCAAAGCUAUUUUGCUCAUAAUGUUUAUGAAAGUGCUUAUAAAGUUCAUGUUUUAUGAGACUGGAGACGUAUAUUUUGUAAUUUCAUUCAGGUAUUAAUAUUCACAUCCAGUCCUGGUUUUGGCUGAUGAGAUUGACAUUGUCUAAUUUCAAGCUUUUUAAUGUGUAGUGUGUCAGAGCAAGUGUAAAAUUACUAGUGAAAUAUAUACAAAUAUGCCUAACAAUAAGUAGACUUUCUCACACUGAUUACUUGAAACAAAUAGGUGGGGCGAAUCAGAUGACUGUAUUAGAGAAGCAACUAAUGCAAUGCAAAAUAAAGUCACCUGUGUGAGUGCACAGAGGUAGCUGUGGAGGAUGAAACACUAUUUUAGGCUUUAGUUACACUCUGCUGUGAUGUGCUGCCUAGUAUUUGCAUUAACCCGCAAAUACUACAAGUUAUCAGUUGUUUCUAAGUCUAUUAUUAAAAAUAGCCUUGCUUCAUUUCUUCCUAAAAUGAAGACAUAUGCAGAGUGUCUAUCUUGCCAGUAUGUGUUAGAAUAAUAUCUUAAUGUGUAUAAAUGUUUAUAGGAAGCUGUCUUUCAAAGAGCUAUGUUUGCAAGUAAUAGUAACCUUUUAAGGAACUUUUUUAUUCAAUCUUUUUUCUCUAUAACUAUUCUAGAAUUUCUUAAUGUAAUGUUCAGAACCCUUUUCAUUAUCUAUAAUGCUAAGUUUUAGGUAGGUAAUGAGAAACUAAUAACAUAUGGAAAAGUAAUGAAUGAGGAGUCAAGAUGUGUGUCAAUAAUAAGUUUGUCAGCCCUUGAAUUAUGAUUUUAUUCAGGAGGUGAUCAUUUUUGAAGGAUGUAAGGUAAGAGCAGUGAUACUAUAUGGUACGUAAGACUUAAAGUAAUUGAGCUAAGAUAUUACUUGAGCUAAGUGUAGAAAUAGAAAGAAACAUAUUUUUAAUGCAUUUAGUUAUUUGUAUCAGAAUAUCUAAAUUAAAGAUUUGGUGUGGCUGUUUACUGGAAACAGAUGGCAGAUAAUAUUUCUUGGAGUUGUAAAUGACAACAUAAUGUCUCCAACUCUGUGUAGCUUCUUCCUUCACUUUGUCUUGCCUUAGAUUUCCCUGUGUCAGAGAAGGCUUUCCUGGACAUCAGUGACAGUUAUUGAUCGCUCAUGCUAUGAGCUCUUCCCAUUUCUCAGUCCUCUUACAGUAGCUGGGGUCAUGAUACUAGUUCUUCUAGUCACUCCUAGUUCUUCUAGUCAUGAUACUAGUCACUUCUCCCGGCCUCCAUGCACACACACUAAAAUGUAAACCCCAUGCCUGGCCAAAAUAAAUACUUGUUAAAUAAAGUUUUCCAUUUCUGUUUGUGAGUUAUCAGAAACACGGAAGGAAAUUAUCUGUAAAGUUGAUCUGUGCUUUGCCAAUUCUCAUUUAGGGUACUUGACCCUUUUUUAAUGGCUGUGCAUUUUUUAUGAUGAUGAAUAUAAAGUAUUUAGCAGAAAUGUUUUUUAUUAAAAUCUUUGAGCUUGUGGAAUGAAUCUAGCAGCCUGUGUGAAAGAAAAACUGCUAGAGAGUCAUCUUUCUGCCACGUGUAAUCAUUACAUUUAACUCAAGUUCUCCAUGGGAGAUCCAUGCAGAGAUGUGAAAAUGGGACAUCUCUUCCUUCUUAAAAUUUGCUCCAGGUUUUGGCUUCAGGUGCCUCCUGUUUUUUGCCUUCCUUUAUUCCUAGGAGUUCCCUCUAUUUACUUCCACAAGGACUCUUGAUAUAAAAGAUACUUGUAUACCCGGGUGUAUGUGAAGGAAGUGAAGGCAAAGGUAGCAGUCAUUUCAAGCUGAACGUGUUGAGUGGUAAAUCGAGCACUUGUUUUUUGUAGAACCUCCUGUGGCCAUCUCCACAGUGCCAUAUUUGAAAGAAAUCUUGUGUAAGCACUGGUCUAAGGGUCACUGACCGUGAAUGAUGGAUGUGGUGACAGUGCGGCCAUUGUAGAGACAGGCAGACCAGAUAUUAGUGACUUUGAUUUUAGUUGACAAAAUUUAUUUGCUUUUAAGUUUUAAAGCAGUACAGCAGUGUGAACUUCAAGUCAUAAACUUUCAUUUAGAAAGUUCAAAAUUUAGUUCAAAUAUAAAAUAUUCUUAAUUUAAAUAAAAGCUUAAAACU